rnacentral:misc_RNA from 1 species
GAUGAAGAACGUAGCGAAAUGCGAUAAGUAAUGUGAAUUGCAGAAUUCAGUGAAUCAUCGAAUCUUUGAACGCACAUUGCGCCCGCCAGUAUUCUGGCGGGCAUGCCUGUUCGAGCGUCAUUACAAACCUCAGGCCCCCGGGCCUGGCGUUGGGGAUCGGCGGAGCCCCCCGUGGGCACACGCCGUCCCCCAAAUGCAGUGGCGGUCCCGCCGCAGCUUCCAUCGCGUAGUAGCUAACACCUCGCGACUGGAGAGCGGCGCGGCCACGCCGUAAAACACCCAACUCUUCUGAAGUUGACCUCGAAUCAGGUAGGAAUACCCGCUGAACUUAAGCAUAUCAAUAAGCGGAGGA